rnacentral:rRNA from 1 species
ACGCACGCUGGCGGCGUGCCUCAUACAUGCCAGUCGAACGCACUCUCGUUUAGAUUGAAGGAGUUUGCUCCUGAUUGAUAAACAUUUGAGUGAGUGGCGGACGGGUGAGUAACACGUGGGUAACCUGCCCUAAAGUGGGGGAUAACAUUUGGAAACAGAUGCUAAUACCGCAUAAAACCUAACACCGCAUGGUGUAGGGUUGAAAGAUGGUUUCGGCUAUCACUUUAGGAUGGACCCGCGGUGCAUUAGUUAGUUGGUGAGGUAAAGGCUCACCAAGACCGUGAUGCAUAGCCGACCUGAGAGGGUAAUCGGCCACACUGGGACUGAGACACGGCCCAGACUCCUACGGGAGGCAGCAGUAGGGAAUCUUCCACAAUGGACGAAAGUCUGAUGGAGCAACGCCGCGUGAGUGAAGAAGGUUUUCGGAUCGUAAAACUCUGUUGUUGGAGAAGAAUGUAUCUGAUAGUAACUGAUCAGGUAGUGACGGUAUCCAACCAGAAAGCCACGGCUAACUACGUG